rnacentral:rRNA from 1 species
AUACGGAGGGUGCAAGCGUUAAUCGGAAUUACUGGGCGUAAAGCGCGCGUAGGCGGUUGGAUAAGUCGGAUGUGAAAGCCCCGGGCUCAACCUGGGAAUUGCAUUCGAAACUGUCCGGCUAGAGUAUGGUAGAGGGAAGCGGAAUUCCACAUGUAGCGGUGAAAUGCGUAGAUAUGUGGAGGAACACCAGUGGCGAAGGCGGCUUCCUGGACCAAUACUGACGCUGAGGUGCGAAAGCGUGGGGAGCAAACAGGAUUAGAAACCCUAGUAGUCC